rnacentral:rRNA from 1 species
CCCUUAGAUGUUCUGGGCUGCACGCGCGCUACACUGAUGCACUCAACGAGUUUACGACCUUGCCCGAUAGGGUUGGGUAAUCUUUUUAAAAUGCAUCGUGAUGGGGAUAGAUUAUUGCAAUUAUUAAUCUUCAACGAGGAAUUCCUAGUAAGCGCGAGUCAUCAGCUCGUGCUGAUUACGUCCCUGCCCUUUGUACACACCGCCCGUCGCUCCUACCGAUUGAGUGCUCAGGUGAAUAAUUCGGACUGCAGCAAUGUUUGGAUCCCGAACGUUGCAGCGGAAAGUUUAGUGAACCUUAUCACUUAGAGGAAGGAGAAGUCGUANCA